rnacentral:rRNA from 1 species
AGGACGAACGCUGGCGGCGUGCUUAACACAUGCAAGUCGAGCGGUGAUCCUCCUUCGGGAGGUGAUCAGCGGCGAACGGGUGAGUAACACGUGGGCAACCUGCCCCUCACACUGGGAUAACCUCGGGAAACCGGGGCUAAUACCGGAUACGACCUCGAGCGGCAUCUCUUGAGGUGGAAAGCUCCGACGGUGAGGGAUGGGCCCGCGGCCUAUCAGCUUGUUGGUGGGGUAAUGGCCUACCGAAGGCGACGACGGGUA